rnacentral:rRNA from 1 species
CAACGCGAAAACCUUACCACCUUUGACAUGUACGGAACUCGCCAGAGAUGGCUUGGUGCUCGAAAGAGAACCGUAACACAGGUGCUGCAUGGCUGUCGUCAGCUCGUGUCGUGAGAUGUUGGGUUAAGUCCCGCAACGAGCGCAACCCUUGUCAUUAGUUGCCAUCAUUUGGUUGGGCACUCUAAUGAGACUGCCGGUGACAAACCGGAGGAAAGGUGGGGAUGACGUCAAAGUCCUCAUGGCCCUUAUGGGUAGGGCUUCACACGUCAUACAAUGGUCGGUACAGAGGGUUGCCAACCCGCGAGGGGGAGCUAAUCCCACAAAGCCGAUCGUAGUCCGGAUCGCAGUCUGCAACUCGACUGCGUGAAGUCGGAAUCGCUAGUAAUCGUGGAUCAGCAUGUCACGGUGAAUACGUUCCCGGGUCUU